CCAUCUUUUGUCGAUCUAACAUCGGUGUAUAUACUACCAAAGAUUACCAUUGCUUAAUCUGACUGUGACAUUUAAAUAGGCGUGUCUGUUGAUACCUAGUUAGACGAGUUGCCUGUGUAGCCGGAUUACUCUUCUGUGCUAAUGUAUUUCUGAAAGUAUUCCAUAAGCUGGCAUACCACCAAUGGAAAAGAGCACCGAAGAAGCGCAGUCAGUUAAAGGGAUACCCCUUAAAGUUGUUGACUUAGCUCGUGAAUGUAAAAAAGGUGUCGUAGCCUCGACUCUGCAGGAAUUAAUAAGUCGAGCUCGUGGAAAACUUGGUGUCCCUGACAAUGUUCCAGUCAAAAUUGUGUUGGAACAAGAUGGAACAGAAGUUGAUGAUGAUGAGUACUUCAGUACAGUGGAAAAGAAUACUGUUGUAAUGCUACUGAAGAAUGAUGAAAAAUGGUUACCACCUGGAAAAUUCCACAGAGUAAGACGAAUCUCAGAUGAAACAGAUGGACCAAGGUUUGGCCCUAAGGACAAGGAACUUAGUAGUUUGGUCGAUAGACUGCAAGGAGAUCUGACUCACAUUUCGAUGUUAGGUGGAAGAGAAUUGGAGCUGUUGAGUAACAUGGAUCCUGAAAGUCUGAUAGACAUCUUUCCUGAAAGUGAAAUAUUUUUGGUGCAACUGAAAGAAGCAAGUGGAAGAUUCCUAUCAGAGAAACGGCAAGCUCAAGAGGCCCUAGAAUUGCUCAAAUUGUAUCGUGGAGGGCAGCAGGAGGAAGUGGUACAAGUCAAGAAAGAAAAAGUGUAAGGCCUGGAGGAAACUCAUUUUCAAGAUGGGAUCAAGGCACUGGAAUAUCGUUGGACCAAGUGCAUUUAUCAGCAAGGAGACUACAUUGAAAAAUAAAAAAGUUUCAGUGAUAUUGUUCUAUCCUGCAUGGAAUAUUUAUCAACCACUCCCACAGCAGUAGCUAUAAAGUUAAUGUCUGCUUUAUUGUUCUCUAACAUAUCAGUGUCUUGAAUUAAAAUUAAGAUAUUUCUUGUUUUCCAAAUUAAGUUAUAGAUGUAAUGGUAUGUGCAUGUCUAACAUAAGACUAUUAAUUAAAUUAAUAAUUGUAAUUUAUCUGCAAAUUUAGGAUUGCUGUGCAAAAUGUCCAGAGUAGUAUUGAGAUUUGUUGUAUAACUGUGCAACAAUAGGAAAAAAAAUUACAAACACAACCUGACCGCACACUGCCAGAAACCUGUAACAGAUACAAAGUUAAUGGAUUUGCACAAUAUUUGAUAUUGACAGGAUUUCCCCACUAGCUGGAUAGGCUCUGUGUCUUUGUUCAUUGUUAAUAUCAUCAGUAGUAGUGAAUGCUCAGGUAAAAUGCAUUGUAUGCAAUUAUAUUGUUAGGAUUUUACAAUCUGAAUCUGAAUUUUUAAUCUUUAAUACAAGCAUUAAGGAAAGUUCUUUGAUGGCUGGGAGUUUUAAUAUGGUCAGAUAACUGCAGAAUGAAAAUUAGCAUAAAAUUUGUGACAUGAUAUUGCUCUGGUGGAAAGUAUUUUUAUUGGUAAGGAGUUGCUGUUAAUGAUUUUUUGAGUAGGCAACAGAUAAUGAUGAUAUGUAUAUCUUUGGGUCUGUAUUUGAUGUAAUAAAAUAGUGAAAAGGAAGAAAACCAAAUGAUUGCCAAAGUCUGCAAUAUUAAUUUCUGUUGACAGCAUAGAAAAUUUUCCUGAAUGGCCAGGUGUUACAUGUGCUGCGACAGAUAUUGUACAGAUCAUUCAGUAAAUGACUAGAGAUUUUUAUCACAAAAAUUUAUUAUGAGGAUACAAAAGGCUUAUGGUAACAAAUUUACAAUCAUAGUUUUAACUGAAAUGAAGAAAGACUGAAAAAGGCUCAUUUUUAAAAGUAAUUCGUUCAUAACUAAGGCAACUAGAGAAAAUACAUUGACUUUAAAAGCUGUGAACUGAACUAUUAGCUUCUACCUAUUCAGACAGCUCAAUUAAAUUUAAACUUAACUCAUCAUCUAUAAAGUAAUUUAGGUUUCUAUUUUACUUUAAUCACUCAUUGUAUAAAAUUAUUAACUACUUGAAGCUCAUUUCUCAUAUACCACAGUGUGUAAAAUACUAUUGUUGAUUUGAACACUUAUGCUCACAAAACUGGAGUUAUAAACAAAUUCAAAUACUGCAAGACUGACUGACAUUGAGGAUAGUAAACAGUUCAUUGCUCAAAUCUCAAUAAACUUACGGAUCUACUUUUAUACAAAUGUGAACGUAAUUUUGGCCUUUGAAAAGUAUUUCAUAACAUCAUUGUUCAUAAGACCUGUAGUAGUUGCAUCACUAUGAAUGAAUGGAGUGAUAUGCAGUUUUAUGAUAAGGAUAGUUACAGGAAUUGUAGUUAUGGAGAAAAUGAUGUAGAGAUGUAUAUUUUAGAAUACUGUUAAGCACAAUGUUGUGAAAUGAUUCAUCUUGGCUGGAUCCAAUUUACUUGUUCUGAUUGAAUCAUUGAAACAGUAGUUAGAAGGGGACAAUACAUUUGAAAAUACUUUAUGGUGCCUGGAGUAGGGAAAAGAAAUUAUGAACGGUUUGGAAGAGUAGCUAUUUUGUGAGAUCCAUACCUUUUUCUGCAUUUAAUGGAAUGUUUGUACUAAAGCUGCUAGGAUAAGAGGUAUCUUUCUCCUUCUCCAUGGCUCCUUUGUGCAAUUUAUUAAUUGUGCAUCUUUUUGAAAAUGAAAUAUGCCGUGCAUAAUAAGUAAGGCAUAUAUAAGUUACAUCUCAUCACCACUGCCAAACUUAAAUUCACUUUUCAACUUCAGAUUAUUUAUUUUGUAAACUUAAAUGCACUUUAUAAGAUGGGGUAACAUUGCUCUUAACUGGAUGCCUCUUUGUGUGGAAGUACUAAAAGUGGCAUUCAAAAAUAGUAUCUAAACUUAUUUUCCUUUAUCCUUGGAAUAUUUAGUUUUGUGGCCAAAAGCAUGAAGUAUACAAUUCCAGGGGUGACAGCACUUUUUCUUUUUUCCAAAAACAUUGAUGGUUUUUUGUGGAAGUACUGUGAAUUGCUCUAAAUGCCUUCUAAAACAGUGAUACAAAUAGUAUAUUAGAUGUUAAACCAUAAGCAGAAAACUAGAUUAGAAAUAAGAUAAAAAUGAUAUAUGAAAAUUGGUUUAUACUGGAACAUAUAGAUAUGUAUACACAUUUAGCUUCAUGCUAACAAUUAUGGAAAUAGCUUGAAGAAUAUGGAGCUAUGUAUAAUGACUGCACUGCUAUUUGGCAAAAUGAAGUGGAAAAAUAGUUGCUCAGAGAACUGAAAGGAAAUAGAAAAUCGGUAGAUUAAAUAUUUCUGUUACUGCCUGCCCUGAAGUUAAUAUUGAUAAAAAUGCUGUUGAUGUGAUGUGACUAACAUAGUUACAGAUGCACAUUAGAAAUAUGUAGUUAGGUGCUGUAAGUGGUAAUAAUUUGGUUUGUACUGUUUUUCAUGAGGACUUAGUUAUUUAUACUUUAUCGUAGCAGCAUUCUGAAAGUGACUGAGUUAUAACAUGGAAGCAUGCAUAUGGUUGCAUCCACAGUUUGUCUAAUGGCUCUCCAUUAAUUUAAAUCACAACCCCGGAGUAAAUUGCCUGUGGUUUAUGCAAAACUUAAAACACUUGUAGUUUGAUAAAUCUCACGCCCUCCUUUCCCCUCUUUGCCACCACUACCACCACCACCACCACCACCACCACCCACAUUAAUAUACACCUUCUAUUUUAUUAUUUGUUGUGUAUGUCCUCCUCCUCCAACUCUUCCUCUUUCCCAUCGUUGUUGUAUCUCCUGCAAUGAAAUUUGUGACAGCAUAUUUUUUGUAAUUGCAGAAGGUCCGUGAGUGUUGGUGAAAUAUAUUUUCUGAGAAGAUACAUGGCCAAAUAAAAUUUUAAUGAUAAAUUAGCUGCAUUUAUACCACAUUGCCAGAAACUUCACUGAAAACAGGUUAUUUAAGUUUUAUUUUUCUUGUAAGAAAUAUGCAUGGUGAAUUUCCUGAUGAAAUUGAACAAUUUUGAAUAGUAAUUGGGUACCAGAUCAUUCACUAUCAAUAUGAAGUGUUGAGUGGUUGAUGGCCAUCUAAAAGGGUCAUGAAACAGUAUUCAAGUAGAAGAGAAAGUGUCAUAAAAAAGACAAGAUAGAUAAAAAUAUUGGUGAAAGGCAAAAAUAACAGUAACAAGGAAACAUCAGAAAAGUUUGGAGGCAAAAGAGUCUACAGUAUGACAGAAAUAGAAAAGGAAGAAAGUAAUACAAGAGCAGGAAAGUUACCUACCCUCCAAGCACUUUUCUUGUCACCUAGUUUGCAAGUCUGCCCCUUUUUUUCUUAGGGCGUUUCCUGCACAGCAAUUGAAAUUUCUCUGUUCCCUUCCCCCUCCUCACCCUAUGCAGUUGUGAAUGUGUACAGGCACCCUUACCAAUCCUAAAAAGAAGUUUGGAAGCAUUACUGAUCAUUCCUCCUCCUCCUCCUCCUCCUCCUCCUCCUCCCCCUUCUCUUUCUCCUCUUGGCAUGCCUGUCUGCCAUUCAGCACUUUGUCCCAAAGAUAGCUAGUGGACUGUCCUCUCAUUCACUGUUUUAAUCAUAAAAAAAGCUUUAAAAAUGACUGAAAUGGUAGAAAUAGAAAAUAUGUGGGCAAGUCAUCCAGAAGUCAUACCAUUUAAUUGUUUCAUUACAAUGAGGAAUAUAAUGAGAUGAUGCAUUCUUUAACAAUGAUUGACCAUGGGGGACUGUGUAAGUAUGUGGGAAAACAGUCCUAAAAGUUGUGAACUCUACUAUGUUCUGUAUGUUGCCUGCUCUUGUCAAGUAAUUGUGCUUGAAAUAUAAACUAAUUUUUUAAACAUCCAAAUAUUAUUUGGCUCGAAGAAGGUGGCCUAUCCAAAGGAAAGGUACACUUUCAUGUGCAGUAAUUGAUCAUGGGAUCAUAUGAAAAACGAUGUAAGUGAAGUACCGUCAUUACCUCUUGGCUGUUAUCAGAUAAUUUCAAUCUUUUGUAGUUAGAUUCUAAACUGUGAACAAUUCUGAAAGAAAGUAAGAUCUUUAGGGCAACACCUUAAGAAUUUACACAGGACAUUCUUAGCAUUUUAUGGAUAGAAAUAAACAAAAGAAUUUUUUGGCACUUCAGUUCACUUUGUGUAUAUUUUACUUCCUAUAAAAGGUUAGUUAAUAAGUAUUCUUAGCUCAGUGACAUGGAACAUUGUCAUCUAGACACUUGCUAUCAGUGGUAGGACAUACAAAUCACCAAAACGUUGAAUGUAAUGACUUCAGUAUUGAUUCAGUUUCAGCAGCAGUUUUUAACCAUAAGUGGAAUCCAUCCUGUACCACUUUGGAGAAUCAGUAUAUUGCACAGUGCAGUGGAGACAAUUUGGGAGUGCACCAUGUAUAUUGCUCAUUGGUGAAUAUACUUGAGUUUAUGAAGGGGUGCAUGAGGUGAUAUAGAAGUUUGUAAUCUAACUCUGAUAAGUGUCAUUGUGUAGACAUAAUCUUAUUAGGAGGCAUUUCAGAAAAUAUGCAAAGAUCAUGUGAAAUAACUGUUACUGCUCUGUUUAUGUAUACAGCUUUCAUGUUAUUCCAGUGGCUCUUGACUAUUAUAGUUGACUAUUAUUUCUGACUCAUGAUUUUAUACAUUUGGCUCUGUAAAGAAACUGAAGUCCAAGGCAAAAAGGUAAAUGUGUUAGACUUUUUUUUUUUGAAACUAAAAGAAAACCUCACUAUAAGAAAUGUUUUUCCAUGUCUUGUUUUUAAAGAUAUUAGCUGUCUGAAAUGAGACAGUUUCUUUGUUUCUUACAUCAAGCCACUACUCCCUCACCUUUUUCAAACUUGAUAUGUUCUCAGUGUUACAUUUUAUUCAUCUUUCUUACAUUUAUGCAUUUUGCCUGGUUCUAAGUGAAACUUACUAAACAAUUUACAGUACUAAUUUUAAAUACUGUUGAGCAAUUAGUGUAAAUAUGUAAAGAAUUAAAUACAAUACCUAUUGCUUGGGUGUUAUAUGAAAGUUAAUGCUGUCAUGUAACAUUUUACUGUAUGCUACUUCUCAUUGGAAUUGUAGUGUAUGAAAGAUGGCUUUCUUAAAAAUAUUUUGUGUCCAUCUCUAAAAUUCAUUCAAGUCUUGUAUACCAAAACACACAGAAAAUGUAUUUGUUGAACAUAAGAAACAAUUAUUUCCCAGCAGGUAUGAAUAUAGAAAUUAAAAGUGUGGUGGGAGCUUAGGUGCAGAGAGUCUCAGAGGAAAACUAAUUGGGAGUUAUUUGAAAAUCAAUAAUUUUUUUGCAAGAUGGACAAACUAUUGUUGUUCACAUAGGAAAAUGGAUCAGCUUUCUGUUUGCAUUUUCAUCUUGUAAAGGCAGUAUACUUAAAACAUUGCAAAAUCAUAACUAUUAAACUUUUAUAGUACAAUGUUAUGAUGGCAGAAGAUAAACAGCAGUUUGGAAGAAUAUUUGCCGAGUAUAACUGGAGCAAACAAUGAUCAAUAAUUUUAUUCUGUGACAAAAUUUUGAUACGAGCAGUGAAAUUGUGUUUCUUGGUUUGUCAUAAGUAUUGCCAUAGAAUACACUGGAGAGCUUGUUAUGCAGGUUAAACUUAAAGCUACAGUGGCACUAUGUCAGUUUUAGGUGGGAAGAACAAUUUUCAAGGUUUUAGUGUAUGACUUUAUUUUUGAAAGAAAACUUACCUGUUCAGCAGGAUAUCAUUGCAUUAUAAUGUCAAUAUCAAAGUAAUGUCUGACAUGUUUCUUGAAUUCAGAACAACAACAUACUCCAUAAUCUGGCAAAAACCAUCAUAGCAGUUUAUCAAAACCUCUGCCUCUCAAGGAGAACCAUAAGUUUGUAUGUAUGUAUGUAUUUAUUUAUUCACACACAAAAAAUAUUCAAUUUUGGGUCACUCCUAUAAACACACAUUUUGUGAUUGUUUAUUUGGAAUCUAUUUCAUACAUAAUUGUUGUAAGCUACAUUAUCUCUAAAACAUAUUUGAAAUAUACUCUUUGUUGUGCAUGCAGCAUGUCAUAAGUUGCGAUUUUAAAAAGUGAUUGUAUUAAUAUAUGUACAGUGAAAAACAUGUAAUAUUUGUAUCACCUUCAUUAUUGGAAAGAACAUUGUAAUGUUCUAAUAUUGAGUGCAGCAGAAACAUUCUUUCAGAGUGUAUCAUGUUACUGUAACCUCUAAAUCGUAAGAGUGGCUAAUGUCAGGAGCACCUAUACUAGAGCUAUUGGAUGUAAACUUUAUAAUACCUCUGAUUAAAUACUGUUUGUUUUGUACAUUAAAAUUUUGUCACUGAUUAA